rnacentral:rRNA from 1 species
UACGAAGGAUGCGAGCGUUAUCCGGAUUUAUUGGGUUUAAAGGGAGCGUAGGCGGUCUUAUAAGUCAGUGGUGAAAUCCUAUCGCUUAACGAUAGACGUGCCAUUGAUACUGUAGGACUUGAGUACAGAUGCCGUUCGCGGAAUGUGUCAUGUAGCGGUGAAAUGCAUAGAUAUGACACAGAACACCGAUUGCGAAGGCAGCUGACGAAACUGUAACUGACGCUGAGGCUCGAAAGCGUGGGGAUCAAACAGG